GAUGAACGCUGGCGGCGUGCCUAAUACAUGCAAGUCGAGCGAACAGACGCGGAGCUUGCUCCUCUGACGUUAGCGGCGGACGGGUGAGUAACACGUGGAUAACCUACCUAUAAGACUGGGAUAACUUCGGGAAACCGGAGCUAAUCCCGGAUAAGAUAUUGCACCGCAUGGUUCAAUAGUAAGAGACGGUUGUUCUGUCACUUCUAGAUGGAUCUGCGCCGCAUUGGCUAGUUGGUAAGUUAACGGCUUACCAAGGCAACGAUGCGUAGCCGACCGGUUGGGGGGAUCGGCCACCUGGGAAGUGGGCCGGGGUCCAGGCGCCUGAGGGAGGCAGCAGUAGGGAAUCUGCGGCAGUAGGCGAAAGCCUGGCGGAGUAAGGCCGCGUGAGUGAUGAAGGUCUUCGGAUCGGAAAACCGUGUUAUUAGGGAAGAACAAAUGUGUAAGUAACUAUGCCCGUCGUGACGGUAACUGGUCAGAAAGCCACGGCUAACUACGUG
rnacentral:rRNA from 1 species